UACGUAGGGCGCAAGCGUUGUCCGGAAUUAUUGGGCGUAAAGAGCUCGUAGGCGGUUUGUCGCGUCUGCUGUGAAAACCUAAGGCUCAACCUUGGGCUUGCAGUGGGUACGGGCAGACUAGAGUGCGGUAGGGGUGACUGGAAUUCCUGGUGUAGCGGUGGGAAUGCGCAGAUAUCGGGAGGAACACCGGUGGCGAAGGCGGUUCUCUGGGC
rnacentral:rRNA from 1 species